UCCGAUGUCUCCGUCCUCCAUUUGUUUGAAAUAAGUACCAACUUGAAUAUGUCCAUAUUUUCGUUUCACCAUUUUUACAGGAAUACUAAUUCAAACUCAAAAUAACAUUUAUUUUUAUUUCUGUAGUAGAUCUAUUUAGGCAGCGUGGUCACUGCUGAGGCUGACAUAGCCGAAAGGUGAAAAUUGGGCCGCAUUUGUCAUCUAAAGUUGCUAGCUUUCCGUAUCAUCAAGAAAGAAAAAACUAGGGGUGCUUGGCAGGCCGAGGAACAAAGUAACCAUUACCAACAUCAUCCAUGUGGAUGGCAGGCAGCACUACCUACUAGCCUGCCUGGGGAGGGAUCAACAUUUGAUAAGUGCAGCACAAUAUAGGCAUCGGUGUUUAUUUUUUUCAAUCCAAGGGGACAAACACCGGAGAAACUUACCCCUAAACAUGGGGACAACUUCUGAUCCAGAAGUGGUUCAGGGUUCAACAGGACAAAUUGCGUGCACCUCUCAACCCCACACCCCCGGGUUGUCUCAAUCGCACAAUCUCACUACUCUUAAAGGGGGAAAUUUGUUCCUCACUAAUCGAUGCGGGACAAUAUGUAUUCGCUCGGCCUUCUACUUUCUCAUCAAAAUAUAUGAAAGUAUUUUGCGCUCCCACACACAGUGGAGUUAUAUAUAAUUUAUUCAUGUAAUGUAUUAGUAUAUUAUUUUGGUAAAUAUAAUAUUUAAAUAGAUUGUAUUCUUUUUAAAAUUAUUUUGUAAUGUUGAUGCACCAACAUUUUUAGAAACUAAGCUUAAGGAUGGAGCGCACACAAAUUUUAUCUCUAUCUUACGGAGGUAGAGAAAUUGUUUAAUGUGAUA
rnacentral:lncRNA from 1 species